rnacentral:lncRNA from 1 species
AUAAAUAAAAGUUAAGUGAAAAUAUUUUACUUCAAGAGUAACUUGCUUACAGGUCAAGGAUUUGAGCCUCACCAAGGCUCACAUGUAAUGUAUAUCUGUUGUCUAAAGAGGCAUUGAGGCCUUAGACUUAUCUUCCUACCUACACCCAAGGUGCUACAACUCAUAUGGGACUUGUACACCAUCCUUCCUACAAGGACUAGACUAGCUGUUGGUCCUCCUAUUUUCUACUAGUAAAAUUCAUUUUUUUUGUAUUUUUGACUUCACCAUGGUGUUUAAAAACACCCCAUUAGCUUAAGAGUUCAAUGUGGCCUUCAAAUCUUACUCCCUUUCUUCAUAAUGGCUUCUGAAGUGAAAAAACUCAUUUUUACCAAGAUCUUAAAUAUUGUUCUAAAAAUUCUUCAAAAAUUAUAAAUAAAUUCUAAAUAAAUUCUGAAAAAUCCUAUAAUGUUUCUAUAAUGAUAACAUCCAUGUAAGGCUACAUUUUCCUAUCUUGGUGAUUUUUGAUAAUAAUAAAAAUCAAUUUAAGUCUACUAUAAAUCCUAUUUUUUUUUAUACUAAUACCUAAAAUAACAUGAGAUUCUUUUUCAUACUUCUUCUAACUACUAACAUUUAUAGUUUUUAUAAAUAGUACAUAUAGAUAGAAGACCAAUAUAAAUAUUGAUCUUAAUAAAUAAUUCUCAAUUCAACAAUCAACCUAUUUCACUGGCAACUAUGAAAUGUGCUCAUGAACUGGCUCGUUGGAUGUGUUAAGAACCGUAGAUAGCAAGAGCUUCAGAAGAACUUGCCAGGUGUGUAUCGGUUUGUAUCGGACUCUUCACAACAUGGGCCUGCAAAACUAUGUUUCUGGGCCUGCACAACUAUGUUUCUCGAGACAAUGUCAGAAUUGAUGAUCCGGCGAUGAAUGAGCUCAUCGAGUACGUCAACUUUGUUACCAGCUGCGAGAAACCCUCCAUGUGGGCUGAGAAACACACUCUGAUCCUCGAGAUGGAAUCCAGUGUUUAUCUUUCCAUCAUCAACAUCGUAGUGACUGAAGUGAUGGAGUCACACUUGGCUACUCAAUACAAUGCCUUGUAAUGAAACCCUUCCCAGAAGCGAUGGACACGUCGGGUGACGUCGAAGGACAACUCCGCAGGUAAUAUCCAUGUUAUUCAGAUCCUACUAAUCUUACCUUCGGAUCUUGCCAAUAAAUCUACUAAUGUUAGUAAUAACCAGACCCAACGGAUUCUUAUUCAAUGUAAUUCACAAUUUUAAACAUCACAAAGAAGCAAAAUACUGGUUGUAAUACAGAAGACAACUAAGGUCAGAUGAUUACUACAUCAUGAAGUUCUCCCUCAUCAAGAACUCAGAAAGUACUCCAAUGAAAUAUUUUCGUUUUAUCUUAACUCUUAGACUAGAAAAUCAUUCAUGUUUCAUUCCUCUAAUUACGAGCCCCGUGCUGUUGUAAAGGCUGUAUAAGAAAGAAGUGGCUUGGAGAAUAUCCGACAUACAAAACAGGGAGCAAGAACAUGAAUUACGAACUGGAUGGCUCUCUUGGAUCUUGCAGGGUUGAACAAGGAUAUAUGCUACAUUCCAACUCAAAAUUUACACUCUGGACCUAUCAAUACAGAACCUAGUGCUAUGUUUUAAACAUUACGAAUUUCACCUUCCUGCACCACACAAUCGCGUGCAGAAACGAUGUGGUCCUUCUGCAAUGCACAGGAAGCCAAUACAGAAAAAUAGAGGAUGGUACAAGUGCCUCAAAAGCCUUUCGUCAAUUCGGCGAUCUCAUCGAUCGUGAUUUUCUGAACAUGAACACCAAAAUCAAGUUGCCAUUAGAAGAGGUUAUUAUGAAUUAUGGGGAUCAGAUGCCCAUACCGUCCCAGAGUGUCGGGUGUCCUAUACGUCAUACAUCCAGGUGAAAAAGCCAACAAUCUUGGAGCGAUGCAUUUUCGUGACUAAAGAUCAUUGUGCUGCCUAGGUUCAAAACAUACAUAGUUCAAAGCAAAUAACUUUCCAACAGUGGUGUAAUGCAAUCCAUACUCAAAUAUGUGGUAGUAUACCUGCUCGUCUCCCGCAAAAUCAUUCUCAGGAGUUAAGAACAACAUGCAGUGACACUCCUUCCUGAACAAACACAGGCACUUGAAGAAAACGAAACCAAUGUACAAAAGAUGGAACUAAAAAUUUUAGCUGAAUCUUGGAUGAGCACUAAAAACCAUAAAAUUCAAAAAUCGAAAUCAAAAUCACAUGCAAGUUCGGCUUUGCGCUUCCUGACAGGAAGGUUGUAAGACAAUAUGAGUGUUUAAACCCAUUAUUGAUGGGCGCCUUCUGCUAUAAAUAUACAUACAGUAGUCCAACCACAAUGGCUGGUUCCUAUUACAAUUAAAGCAUAGAGAUAGAAAGGACAUACCUCUCACGCAUGGGAACACAAGGACAGUUCCAAAAGCCUUGUUUUGCUUCAGCUUCCUUAUCAUCGUAGUGCCUGAUAAAUUAAUAAAGCGAGAAGCUAUUAGAAGCCACAAGAUUGUAACAGUUCUAGCCGCUAAGGUCGUGAUCAAACUACAUAGUUCGUUAUGAACAUGUAUUCAUUUGGACGAAGGAAACAAAGUGUCCCAAGUUCCUACAGGACUACUGACCUGCAGGGGCAAAGAGGGGCCCCUAAAAUGUCCUUGUGCUCCGCCAAACCCUGCAAAACCGCAACUACUCUAAGUCCUUACCCAGUCAAGAAAAAUAUGAUUGCGUGAUAUGUGUAUUACACAACUACCAUACCUACCUUGAUGACGACGGCAGUGACACUCUUGUCCACGCAGAAGAAAGUGUCUGAUUUCCUCGCAUACUGCUCAGAAAACUUGCGCAUAACUUCCAGAGACUGUGCAGAAGGCUCUCCUGCAUGUAUGACAGACCCACACCUAUGGCAUUAAUUCUCAAUAGGAUCUGAAAUAGAAAAUGCAAUAAUAAUUCGACAACAACGGUACAAGAGGCAGGCUGUAAUGGAGACUAUACUUGCAGCCCACACUGGUAAUUUGAGCAGGUUUGAAUGUCAUGGAUAUCCACGAGUGAGGAACCAGUGGAUUUUACUGCUAGUGAAAAGCCUAGUGUUCACUUGUAAGACAGUCAAUUCAGAGAUUAGGUUGAAAAUAGACGAUAUGCAACACUGGGAUCCCUGAAAUUUCUGCCUCGAUUGAGCAAUCUAAAGAGAAUAUUCUUAAGGUGACAAAAUCCAGUCAUAGGUACAUCGUAUGUAACAUGAAAGACUAAACACUUCAAAUGAUUCGACACUUCAAAUGAUUCGGGGAUUCCAAUCAACAGCUGCUGCUUCGAUUCAGAUUGACUUUUGAAACUAUCUAUACCAUGUUAUAUGCGAAGCCUUUCACCAGGUUCGCGACCCCUUGCACGGAAUAAAAGGUAGAGAAAACGGUUCAUCAUAUUGUCACACUCACUUUGACAUCCCGAAGCCAACGAAAACCCUCUAAAAAAAUCCCUCUGUGCCACCAACAAAAGAAACAUAAUUGAGUUGAGUUCCUACCGCCUGCCCGAACUGCAAGACCUCGUGGGGCGACAGAUUCAGGUGCGCCACCGCCAGAAAGGCCACCGCAUUUCGACGCAAAUGAGGAACGACUGCACAGCUGGGAUUGCGUAAAGACGCCUGCCACUCCUGCACCAGCCAUCAAGCAUGCCAUCUUCCCUCCUUUCUUGAACUCUAUGCAAUUUAAAACGCUUCAAUCUCGACUCUUGCUGCAUGAAAAACUUCAAUGGGCAAUGCUACACAACGCAAUAAACCUCCAUACAAAAGCGCAAUACAGAGAACAGCAAAUAUUCUACCAUGAGGGGCCAUCUAAUUAGAAAACAACGAAGUGAAUGAUCUAGAGAGCAUACCCCAAGUCUCAGGCUACUUAAUUUCAAAAGAGAUCACAAUCUAACAAACUCCGCAACGCUAUGACAACAUCGUGAUAAGAAAAUCAAGCAUAACAAAAAUACAAUAACGCCCAACUCAACUCGGAAACCGCUUCCUCACAAAACAAUCAACAACACAGACACAUUCUCGCAACUAUUCUACUUGACUUCGAGAUCAUAUCUACAAUUUUCCGUGUCACAUCAACAAACACAAUUUAAUUCCAGAUCUUCUUCAACUAGUUCAAUUGUUCCGAGCUCGAAAUCGAAUGGGGUUACUCCCAAACAAUCAAGGAACACACACUCACCGCACAAUUCGGAGACACGAUGUGUUGCUGAGGCAAGCACAAAACGAACAAAAAAAAUCCAAUUGGCCUGGGCUUGAAACCUGGAGCUGUGAAUGGACAACGAAAACCCAACUCCAGAUCAACAACGAGGUGGGUCCGCAGAAUUGUUAUUGCGAUUACACAAGGGACAUAGUGAAGAGCGCUUCGAGAUGAGAAUUUUUCUCUGAAUCGGGCCCAAGCAGCGGUUGAAAUUAGGGUUUGCGAUGGAUAAGAACGGGACCCAUACCAGAGAGGAAAAGAUUUUUUGUUUUUUUUGUUUUUUUUGUUUUUUUUGUUUUUUUUGUUUUAUUUUUGUUUUAUUUUUGUUAAAUUAAUACAUGGGUCCUUUGCAAAUAAGCAGGGCCAUUCUUUUCUAGGACGAUCCCCGUCGUUGGAACUGGAUGGAUCGGUUGUGCCAUGGAUGGGGCUGCGAUGGUGGAUCGAAGCCGUGGCGCCUCGGCGUCGAUCCACUCUUCGUAUUCUUAUUAUUACUCGUGUUCGUUUUUAUUUAGAGUUUGAUUAUGAAGAAGGGGUCUUCCUAUUUAAGGUCACAGUUUUUCAAUCUUUUUACUGGCUAAAACUGAGUAGCUUCUGAAAUGCGAUGCUAAUGGAAGAAUUUGAAAGAUGAGACCUCUCACUUUUUACCCUAAAUACUAUAUUUCCUUCUCUAAACAUUAUAGACUUGUUAAGUGUAUAACUCUCAAUUAAUAUAUAUGCAUGUAUAGAUAUUUCUCCAAUAAUAUUACAUUUCAUCUAAUUUCUGUUUUAAAUCUGAGAAGACGCCACUUUUCCUGGUCUAUUUGGACAAGAUGAAUUUUGACGUCAGUGAUUAGAGAGUAUUCUCAGAGAAUGCAUUCUUUUUGCUUCUUUGAUUUUUUUGAAUUUUAAUUUUUUUAUUGUAAUAUAUACAAUUAUAAUAAUUAAAUCUUAUGUUUUAAUAUUAAAUUGUCUUAUGAUGAAUAUCUUCAUUGGUUAAGCAAAAUAUUACCAUGAAGUUUAUAAUUAAUGUUUACUUAAUAGGUCACACUAGUACUGCAUGUGUUAUACAUGAUAAAUAAAUGCAACUUUGUCUUGAAUUGAUUGUAUGUUAUUAAUUGUAUGAAUUAUAUUAAUUAUAUGUUAUUAAUUGUCUUGAAUUAUAUUAAUUGAAUGUCUUGAUAAAUUUUUUUAUAUUUUCUUUUAAAAAUACAAAACUCUACUUCAAUAAAUUAUUAUUGUUUUAAAAAAACGCUUAUAAAAUCUAUUCUACAAUAGUAGCCCAUAUACAUGAUUCUAUACAAAAUACACAUUAUACAAAAUAUUGAUGGCAAUAUUUUUAGUGGUCACUUAAACAACCCAUAUUUUAAUUGUCCAUCAAAUUUUUACAUAAUUGUGAUAGUUACUUGUUAUGUUGCACAAAUCUAUCAAGAAAUAAAACUCUUCUAAAAUCCAUCUAUUAAAUUUAGAGAAAUGCUAGGUGGACACUCCCCUCCCUUUUUUAUUGCAUAGACAUCCCUUGUGCCACACAUACAUACAUGAAAACUCUUGUUUACACUGUUCACUAGUUUUUUGCACUUUAUUUUUCUUUAUUCUUUCUUUUUUGAUUAAAUUUAUCAAAACUCCAAGAUAUAUUUUAUAUAAUAUUUUAUUCAUCUUUAAAAGCUAAUUGAUUUUAUUUGGAAAAUCUUUUAUAGAAAAUUUAUUCUAAAACUUUUUAGUGCAAAUAAGAGUUUUGUUGUGUACAUGUGGGGUGAGUGGCACAAUGAUGUCCAUGCAAUAAAAGGAGGUGUCAACCAAGUUGUUCACUGGGUUAACUAUUCACCCAUUCACACUUGAAAACGUUCCAACUUCUUAAAUAAAUUACAAUAAAAUAAAAUAAAAAAAAAAAAAAAAAAACCAUUUCGUUUACAAAAUAGUGUGUUUGAGUGUGUGAAUUUGUGCACCGACACAAAACCUCAGUCCAUAGCAACCGUCGAUGGCGCCUCACAAUCAGCAUCCCCACAUUUGCAGUGGAAUUGGAGCAGCGUGCCCAUCGAAACACAUCUGCACAACUCCUGCAUCCACUGUAUCACAUGAGGAUGCAGCCACACUGUGUAAGAUUCACUGCACCAGAUUGUGUAGGAAUAUAUUUGCCGUAGAUGUUAGAAUUCACCACAUGAUCCUAGAGCUGGAAUUAUCUGUGUCGGUGCAAAGUUGUGGUUUUUUUCCCUCAUCACCCGAUUUCGCCUCCCACUCUUUGAUGUUUCUGAGUUGAAUCUUUCUCAAUGAAGCUGUAAUUUGCAGGCUGUAGGGGGCUCAUGGCAUGGAACCGAAGGUGGAGAUGGCUGUCGAGGAGUUUGGAAGCAGACUGAAUUGCUGCAAACAGUUUCUGUGAAACUGUAAAAGGACAUCUCGGGAAUAUAAUGUGAUUCGUCAGUCGAUUUCCCCGAAAUUCCAACUACCGUGAAGGUCAACACAUCGACGUAGAGCCUGUCCACAUUCAAUUAAUUUUUACACGAUGCGGUGGACGUGACGGGUGCCACCCUCACCAUCAAUCACCUCAGUAAACGGGGGAGUAAAUGAUCGUCCUCGGCAUCAGAAACUGUGCACAAGGUUUUUGACGCAAGCAGCAAAUGAAACUGGAUUAAACAACACGUUCGAAUACUGUGGUUUUGAAUGACUCGACUGAUGACUCUCCUACCAAUUCCCUGGAACUUCACGGAGUUGGGUAAAUUAGACUCUACCCUCUGGGUGUGAUUCAGUCACUGGCCCUGAGUUGCUGCAGAUGAGUGUGUAAGAGCUUGCGGUGAACACUGCCAAAUGCGAACGUGAUGAAGCACAGUGUUGGACGUGUUUGGACGGUUCAAGGAAGAUUAUCCUUUCCUUUUGCAGAGUCCCUGGCAUGUCGGAACUGUACAGCACUCCCAUUUGUAGGCGCGCCGAUUGUCCACAUUGGGCUUAAGAAUUUUGCAGCUCGGGAUUACAAUCUUGCUGUUACUUGCUGACCAAUCCGUUUUUGUGAUUUGCAAAAUGGUGGGAAGGAGUGCGUCCGACACCUAAAUGCCUGGUAGGUCGCUUGUUCACAGUACCGAUAGCAUUACAGGCUCAGGUCGUAUGCUGCAUUGAUAUAGAAUAGGCCGUGAGGACAUUGAAAUUCCUCAGAAUCCACCAAGUACUCUGGUUUGUCCUCCCGCAUUUACUUGCUUGUAGGAUACUGAAGGGCCUGACCUAGAAUGAGUCAGUACAAGACUGUGGGUAUUGGAAUUGCAUUAUUGCGAAACGUUCACAGCGAUGCUCAGAAAUGAGUUACACGAUGUUUUUGGAGGUGUAGGAUGCUGGAAUCGGCUUGUUGGGUGCCAGUUGCCUCUGUGUCUGCUUAAAGGUGAUAAAGCGAACUCAAUACUCUGAGUACUUGGCGAAUCAGGGAUCGUGGUGAAGGAAAUAUUCAAGCAGUAGCAAGGACAAUGAUCGUGCUUCCAUGAAUGAUUCCCAGGCCUCAGUCACAUGCUCGUUCCUGUAUUUAUUUGCUCUCCCUCCACUAGGGGGGGGGUGUGUUUGGCGUCGUUGCUGCAAUACUUGAGCCUCACGUAACGUUGCCAUUCCCCACUUGUAGUUCUGUUUUCAAAAAAAUAAAAAAUAACCUUGCACUGCAUUCGAGAAUAACGGUCACAUAAACACAGGAAUAUACAUGCUGCGAUUUACGACUGCCUCGGGGCAGGAUUAUCUUUGGAAAAACCCUACGUCAUCCAGUCCUCAAAGCCGUGCAGCAUAUCGGAAAAUACCAGUGUCUUUUCGAUGCGUAAUUGGAACUCUCGGUUCGUAAUGGAUUCCAGAAUGUGUGUUCUGACCACCGCUGUCGACUGUGCACAACGGAGUUCACGUCUCACCCAAGACAGAGCAUUCACCCAAACGGUGAUGGUUGAGCGGUGAAUAACACAAGUGGUCCUGAUGCACUGCACAUUAUGAUGCUUGGGCAUGAGAGAGAGAGAGAGAGAGAGAGAGAGAGAAUACUACCGCCGGCGGCAUUGAGGGAAAGACGACACUGUAGAAUGUCAGAUCCCCUUACACACAUUCAUGACCCAAUACCAAGAUUGCAUAGAGAAACCGAGCUGGAUUAAGAAUCUCUGAGAACAGUGCCAUUCGUCUUGAACUCUUUUACCUGCUCAACAUAAAGGGUGCCGAAGACUUCUACGUUUGAGAGCCGGAAACUAUGGAAUUGUAAUGUAAGAAAAUAAAACACACACACAUUGAAACAGCGAUCAAUUGGCUUUUUACCAUUAUAGAUUGGGCAAUAAGUCAGACAAAUGAUUAGACAUAAAAAAUUCAAUGAAAGGAUAAAACCCUAAAUUCAAUCACCGAAGUCGUAUCUACACAAUUGUUUAUAAUUGUAGUAAAGAUUGGUAAAGUUAUUUAAAUUAUAAUCACAACUGUAACAGAAUCCAUGCGGAAGGUUACUCGCAUGAGGUGUAGAACAUAGAAGAGUAUUAUGGGAAAAGAAAACAAUAUAACACCGAAACUCAAACUCAAACUCCUCGACACGAUCCGAAAUUCAAACAUAAUGGCAAAUUGCAGACCCAUCCGACGAAUAGUGCAAGUUUCGGAGCUCGGGAGAUAUGGGAGUUUGGCCUGUGCUGCGACUGUGAUUUCAGAUGCGCAUCACAUGGGGCACUCUUCCACAGAAGAAAUUCGUUGCCGAAGGGAUGAGUUACUCGUUCAGGGCUUACUCUCAAUGCGAUAGCUGUAGUUUAUUCAGGAGGAGAGUCACUCGUCAGGACUUCAAACCAUGGACAUGACUGGUGCGGCUGGCAUUCAUCUGCCUUCAAUGCUGUGUCCCAAGUCAAACACUCAUGUCUUUUAAAAGCCUGUACUUAAUCUCGCAGCAGAUUUUCAACCUGAGAAAUUGGGUGUGUCAUAUCUUUACUCUAAAGGGUUCAGAUCAGUGAUGAUCUCGAGACAUCGUUUGUUCUGUUAUGCCAAGUAGCUCAACUUGCAAUGUGUCUCGAGAGUGCAAUCAUCUCCAAGGCAAACUGGUCGAUGAAAUUUGAAAACAACAGAAAAUAAAAGAAUAGUGGUAAUAUAUCACGUCGUUGUGUUCAGGGUACUUGCUUGGGACUGUCAGCUUGAAACAUGCGCCACGCAGGGAUAUGGAGGGGUACAGCUCGUGAAUGAUUUUUUUGAACUAGUCAGAAUUCAUCCAAAUGCGUCUGACAACCAUGCUGUCUGAAACGGAGAACGGGUACCAUGGCGGCGGAUCCCGAGGCAUCUGACACCGCCAUCUGCUUCGACGCUUCCUUCAACUUCACUUAUUCCACCCCCCUCCUCCCCCCCCCCCCCACAACCUUCGUGAGUAUCACUCAUCACUCUCUCACUCAUGAGCUCGUCCGCACGCAGUCGACUCAGCAUCGUAGCUCAUCGCACACCUCAGAGCUUCCCUCUAUAAGUUAAUUGCUCACUGAUGUGAGUUCGUAGCUCCUGGAGCAAGACGAGGUUAGUCCACUCUCGAGGCUUCGUUAGAGUCUUUGAUGGGAUGCGCUGUCAAUAUGUUGCCUCCAGCAUUGUGCUUUUUAAAUGAAUGAGUAGCUCUAUUUUCCGUGUGGUUUUAAUUUGUACAAGUGGGUACUUCAUUCCAUCUUCUGUGUACAGCGUAAACAAUACGUGGUUUCUCGAAGGUUUUGCGCAACGACGCGUUUUUCUAGCUUCUCACAACUUUUGUUGUGUGCUGACGCUUCUGUUCUCUUGUUGCUGGUUGUCUAGAAAUGGCCUUUUGGUCUCACGCUCCCCAUGUAGAACAUUAUUGAUAGGUUGUUUUAGUUGUUUGCACUGUCGAGGAACAUUGUUCAACUUCGUGCCUUAGAAUUGUUCUGAACAUUUGAAGAUGUAUAUGUACAGACCGGUUUACACGUCUUCCACACGACUUGAACCGCGUAGCAUACAUCUGCGAGCUUCUCGAACUCGUUGAUGUCGCCAUUGCCGCUGAUGUGUCCGCUUGCCGGACAGCUCCACAGCCACCAUUGUUGUGCCUAUGAUUUUACAGAGCUGCAAUCUUGCUGUGCUUUUGAAGAAGCUUCCUGGUCUGUCAAAUCCUAGGCAAAACUUCCCUCUACUCGCAAUGCGUCGCUACUGGUAAGCCUACCCGACGCACCACCAUUAUCAAGCACAAUAGUACUCCUGUCACAAGCUUUAGCUCCGGUUCUCGUCCUUCUCUUAUCUUGUUGACAGGCUCCAACACCUCUCCCCAAGACUGCAGCUGUAUUCUAGCCUCUUGCGCCCCUUCGCUCUUGUCAAUCCAAACUUUUGUGUCUCUGCCCGAUAGCUGGGUUUCUUGGUACUAGUCUACUCAUCUGAUGUGCCGCCUCUUCAAAUUUCCGUGCUACACUUCGAAAUAUUUAUCCCAAUCUACGCACUUAUCGCUCUCGUUUGGAGUUUGCCUCACUCAAUAGUGGAUUCCGAGACAAUGUAGGCAAGCUAGCUUCCUGCAUUGCCUACAGAAAUGCAUCAUGCUCCGCACCUGGCGCAGUCUGUUGUAAGAACUGAACGGUACAUGUCUCGCACCGGUAUGGUGCACCUAGUGAGUUUAUCUUCAUCGACAAGAGGUUUCUGCGCCAUGUUUGUGACUUGAGUUUUUCUGGACUUGCAGAUGAGGGAGGCUUUGACCACCGUAAGAAUGUGGUGUGAAUGCUGAUGACAACGUCAUGUGUCCAAGUCGAUAUCUACUCACUUGGGGCAAGUUACGCCUCUCGAUAUGCGAAGCAAUCACGAACCUGUAGCGUAACACGAUCGACCUCGUCCUAGGUCUGCAUUUCAAUCAUCACUUUGGACGUCAAUAACCGAGUUAAACCUGAAGCUCCGAAAGACCAAUCCCGAGCUGGACAUGGCCUCUGCGUGCUCUGGUGCAAGAGAUAUAUUCACAUCGCGUCCCAGUAACACAUCAUACGACGCCGAUCACGAAGCAGCAUCGCCUGCUCCUCUCAGCAAUGUGCAACGCCAUAGGAAUGUAGACGCUCGGGACUAUAUGCUCAAAAGAUUCUUGCCCGCAGCGCAAGCAGUGGCUGCCACCGGAGCUAAACCGUCAGCAUCAAUAUCAUCAUUGCCUUCCUCAGAAUGCAGGUGAUGUGAUAUUGUGAUAUGACAUCCUGGUGAUCAUCGUCUAGAUGACUCUCAGGUACAAUUCGUGCUGUGUAUUUCUGGUUUCAAUCGCUUUCAUCUCUUCCUUAGUGAUGUGUCCCUACGUGUCCUCGAUUGCAAACCAUUGUUGUAUCACUGACGAGGGGUUUCUUGUGGAGUGCAGGCCUCUGCCAAACUCAACUUCUACUGUAACUGCAAAGCCAGUGUCAACUAUGUCAGAAACGAGCAGAAAUAAGAAGAAACUCUCUCAUGGGGUUCAACAGGACCUACGUGGUGAUGAUGCAGAGGACGAAAAUGUGGAGAUGAGAGCAUGUGGGUUUCCUCUGCACUUGGGGAGGUGGACCCUUCAACACUUCAGAUAUAGCUUUUGGACUUCACGAUCAAACAGUCGCAGCCCGUGUCAGGCGACGAAGAUGGACUAUACGAAACAAGGAAAUGAAAGUGACAAUUCCGAAGAUGUGUUCUGGUCCGAUGAGGUGAGACUGACCCAGAACAAAUUAUGGAAGUUUUGCUGUUAUUUUGUGCCACAUACCUUCGAGAUUCGGUUUAUAUUAACCCCCCCCCUCCCGCCCCCCCUAAACCCAACUCGAUAUCACCCUAAUGUCUCAGGAGAAGUUUGAAGAUGCGUUUCGGCUUUCAAAACUUGAAAUCAGAGAGACUGAGCGAGAGAGCGCCUCCUCUGUGUUGAGAAAGGGUCAGCUGGCGGCAGAGAUGGUUCCACCUCCCAUUCGGCUGCACUCUAUGGAGACAGUGCACACCCCAGAUCAUAGAGGAUUUCUGGGAUUGCCAAAGGCUUCCCAACUCACCAGCGGGGAGAUGGAACGGGCACGGCAAGUGGACCGUCUGGGAGCUCGGCUAACUCGAAUGCUAAGUAAGACGAACUACAUGGAGUCACGGAAUGCUCGAGUACACGAGCACGAUGAGCAUGAAACUGAGAGCUCUGGCAAAGGACCCUCAGCCUCGACGUCAUCGUCUUCGGCGGAGGCUCCAAGGACUAAGUGGGUAGAUGCAGUGGCAUUUCUGAGGCCCCCUCCAUCUCCCAAAAUGCCUUCGGAAUCGUGGCUGUCCAACACCCUUCCGCCAGAACGACUUCUCCAAGUGAAGAGGUUUUCCCGAAAGCCUCUCGGUAGCUUUAUCCCCAUUAAACCACCUCUAAAAGCAACGUCGGAGCAGCCUCUUUGCGAGGUAUUUUUUAGCGCUCCCAGUGUAACAUCUUACUAGACCAUUUCGUAGCCAUAGUUGGAGUUCGAUUUACAAUCUAGGAUCAUCCCCAAGUUUGUAAUCUUCAGCUAGCAAGGGCUCAUGAAACAUUCUGACAUAAUUACAACAACUCUCGAUUCUUUUGCAGGAUGCGACGCUUCGCCUCCGGAAUUCGUGCAGCUUGAAGGAACACUUUCAAGGCAGGUGACAGAGUGAGUAUCACUCUUGCUGCAAUGGUCCUCUGUAUCAUCGGGUCGGUUACUAGACACAAAGUUGAUCCUAAAUUUUCAGCUAGCUCACGAAAGUUCGAUGCUGCUGGUGUUUCCAGGAAGAUUCUAAGUCCCCAAUUGUGCAAGCGCUGCAACAAUUCCUCCUUCCCCCUUCAACAGUACUGACAUACUCUCACUAACUACUGGGGCGCCGCGCUUGAGACCCCAACUCCACAAAGUGCAGAGUGACGUUCGGGAUGUAACGCAAAUAUGACAUGGAUUGAGAUGGUUGUUCGAAAGGGACUCAUCCGCCUGGCACGGUUUUCAACACAUUUCCAUGGAGCACCACACAGGAAGCUGUCCGUUAUAACAUGUGACAUGCAUAGCACUCUCCGUUCAGCCUUGAUGAUAUACAUAUUCAGGGAACUAAACGGGAGUACCCUUUUGUAUGUAGUACAUAGAUCUAAGAUGCUUGUAAAGACAGUCAAAGCCUCUAGUUUGCCUGGUGUUGAAUCCCCUCCUGCAAAAACACUUGUUGCACAUGUUGUAAAACGUCGUUGUCCACUUCGAGCUCCCACCCACUUUGUUUCGUUUCAUGCAAUGCUUCCUCUUCAGUUGCAGCGUUUUGAGGUUUUGAAGAGUCGUCUUCCUCCUCUCUGCCGAGCACAUCCACUUCAAGCUUCCUUCAAAUCAGUUCAGUCUCAUGCCCCUUGAGUUGCAAGCUCAUACUCCACUUAUCCUGGGCGUUUGUCGCUAAGUUGUGUCGGCUGAACCCUUUCGUAUCUUGCCGCCUGAGGGCUCUCUCUCAACUGUGAUGGGUCCAGAAAUGAAAUAUCAAGCUGCAAAGGAAACAUAAAUAAUGAACUCGUUAUAUAUCUUAACAGCUUCUUCUUACUAAUAUCCUAAGAUAAAAACCAAAUCCAGAGUGUACAAUGAUUAUAUCUGAUCAAACAAAUUACAAGCUUGUACAAAAUGAAUAUGUGUGUUGUUAUAACAGAUCGGUGAUGUAUCUCACCUAUAUUAAAUACUUUAUACAUAUAUCUAUACAUCCAAAUCAAUUUAUAUUUUGUAUGUCUACUCCCCCACCCCAGGACCCACAGCACUUUCUUCCCAAUUUCUUUCAUGGUUUUAUAUUAUUUUAGGGUUUUCUGCUACAAUCAGAAUAUUUGUUUGGCUAUGUCUGUUUUAAUCUUUGUAGACAAGAAAUGCUUGGUAUUAAUUUAAUUAAAAGUAUUUUUAUCGAAAAAUGUGAUACUAAGCCAUAAUAUAUAAAUCACGUAGAAAAUUUAAGAAGAAUUAUGCAAAAUAUAAUAAAAUGUAUAUAUAUAUAUAUAUAUAUAUAUAUAUAUAUUUUUAAUUUUCUACAAAUUAACACAUUAGUAGUCAUUAUUUGUCACUAAUAAGGCAAUCAGCCUUAGUAGUGCUUUUAGACUAUAUUUAGAGGUCUUAUUUACCUUUAAUACUUGAAAAGGCUUGUAAAUAUAGCUCUAACUUUUAAAGAUUUAUUUUGGUUAAUUUAAAAAUAUAUUUUGGCUAUAAAAUAUCUUUGUAGGGUUUCUUUUUAAAGGACAAUUUAAAUUUGGUUGUAAUAUUUUAGUUUUAUAUUUCUAAAGAUGUUAUAAUAUAAUUUGAGAGAUUUUUUAAAAUUAAAUUUAAGCAAUUAUAAAUAUAUAUUUUUGCAAAUAUUUACACACUUUGGAACUUUUGUACAAAAAUUAAUAAUGAAUUUUAAAUUUUAAAAGUAUAAGAAAGAGGUUAUGAAUUAUACAAGAAAUAAACACUUAAAACAUAACAUUGAUCUUUUAAUAUUAAUAAAAUAAUAAUAACAUCUUAAAAAAUUAUUUUGCUAACUACUUGAUUUUAGUAAAUUUGGUCCUAUAUAAAAUUUGUUUAUAACUUAAAAAAAUUACAUUAAGACUUAAGUUGUUAUUACUUUAAGUGUUUCAAAAAUAUAAAGAAUUUUAAUAACUAUCACAUAUAGGCAUUUACAUACAAUCAAUUUUAUUUAAAGUUAUUGAAGUUUAAAAGCUUUGAUACAAAUUUUAAAAUAUUUUACAAUACGUUAUAUUUAUUGGUAGAUUUAAAAAAAAUCAAAGAAACAAAAUGUAUGUAUAUGUAUAUAUAUAUGGUAUUGCUGUUGUUAUCUCAACUUUUGCUAAUACCACCACAAUUUGUCAUUUAUCACAUGCCAUCAUGGGUUUUGCCAAAGCCAACACAAGGUGCUCUUUACUUAAGAUGCACAUAAGGCACUUUUUACAACCAUCACCGCUGUUAUCAAUGAUGUCUUAAUUACUCUUAAUAUUUCUACUCUUAAUUAGUUUGCAAAUCUUAAUCACUUCUACUUCUCCCACCCAGCCAUAAAUACAUAAAUAGCAUCGCCCUCUAUCAUCGCUUCUUAUCAUCUCAUUUAAACACCACAUACUCUCCCUCUUAUUCCUCUUCAUUAACCUCUCAACUCCACAUGAUUAUUAAGAGCAAGAAGUAAUGAAAUUGAGAAUUGCAAUGAUGAUUUAUUCAACCAAUUUACAGAGCAUACUACGUAAAGAACCAACAAUAUUAGGGUACAAGAAUUGAAUAUCCAAUCCUUAAAAACCAAUUGCAAAAAGCAUAAAGAGAGAAACACAUAGCAAGCAGGCAAAAGAAUAAGAAUUGCCGUAAUAUUUGUAGCAGUUGUGAAGUUGGCAGAGACACAUUGUCUCACCCAAUUUUUUUAAGGAUGGUGGAAGCAUGGAGGGGGGAGGAAAGGGGUGAGAGGGGACAGGCAAGCAAGUGGGCAGGUGUGUAAUGAAAAAAAUAGUGUUGUGGAAAGAACUGUGAAGAUUUUUUACAAAGCAAACAGGUUGAAGAAAACUAACAAGAAGAUGGAGAGCAUGUGGUGUGCAAAUGAGGUGAUAAAGAGGGAGAGCAUGUUAUGUUUAAAUGAGGUAAUGAUGAGAGAUGAGAGAAGGUGGUGUUGAUGUUGUAUUAUGUGAAAAUUAGCUUAAAAAUGUAUUAGAUUUUUUUUUUUUUUUUUUUUUUUUUUUUUUUAAGAAUGGUUUGAUCUUAACUUGAAGUUGGAUUUAAAAUCUAAAAAUAAUGCAUAAUGCAUAAUUUUUAGAAACAUUUUCUUAGCAAUUUUAAACAAUUUAAGUAAACUUCUAAUUAUACUAAUUAUUUCUUAUCAAUCUUAAAAAAAUUCUAAAAAAAACUUAUUCCACUCUAAUUAAUUCUAAAAAAACCUUAUAUAAUCCCUAAAAAUCCUUAUUAAAUCCUUAAAUAAUAAAAAUAAAUUCAAAAUAAAUCAUAAAUAAAUUAUAUAUUUAUAAAAAUCUUAUAGAAAUCUUUAAGAAACCUCAAAGAAAUUAUGAUGAAACCUAAAAGAAAUUUUAAUUAAAUUCUAAUAAAUCCUAAGUUGAUUGUAUUGAACUCUAAUCUAAUCCUAUUCAAAAACUAAGUAAAUUCUAAAAAAUCUUAAUCACAUUCUAAUUGGAACUUAAGUAAAUUUUAAUAAAUCUUAAUCAAAUUAUUUUAGAAUUCUAUAGAAAAUUUAAAAUCUUAAUAAUUAUUAAUUUAAUAAUUUAUCUUCAUUAUAAAAUUUAUAAAAUUUCAAUCUAUUAGUUUAAAAUAAGUACAAAAAAUUUAAAGAAAAUUAAACCAACAAAUUGGAAGAAAUGCUAUUUAUUUGCAUGAGUAUUGGUUGUCUUUCUCCAAUCUUGAUAUCAAUCUUCUAACAUCAGUAGCUCUCCUUCAAAUUAUUGUUGUAGAAACAAUAAACCCUUAUAGAACUAUUUACUUACUUUCUAUAUUAGAAAAUUGUUAAAAAAUAAAGUUAAUAUGCUUUCAUAAAAUUUUGUUUCAAUUUAAUUAGAAAAUUGCUUAAGAUCACAAAAACUCUCACUAACCUUAAAAAUCAAAUAUCUAAGACCUUGAUCCAAUCAAAUUCUAAUACUUUUUAAUCUAAUCAUUGGAUUUAUCUUAAAAUUUCAGCACAAAUUCAAAACAAGCAUAUUAUCAAACCUAUAAAAUUACACUCAUCUAUUUGCUACUACAUUUACACUUAUUUCUACUAUACAAUCUUCUUUUUAUUUUUUAAAAUUUAAAAUAAAAAAUAUCUUUGCCUUUUAAUAGCUCUUUGUAACUCAAAGUUAAUUCAAAUUAUUUGAAACAAAUGUUAAAACAAAUCUCUAUAAGUCUCUUCUCUACAUUCUCUCUUUGAUUAGUAAAAAAUUUUCUAAUUUUAUCAUAAAAGAGUAAUUUUAUGCCUCAAAGAUUGAAUUUGACUCAAGUUUAUAAUACCUAAUAUUUAUUUUUACCUUACAAUUUCUAUGAUACUAAUUUUUUAUUCUACCUUAUUUUGUCUUGUUUAUGGCCCUGCGAAGUAAGCAAAAGUCUAUUUUAUAAAAUUUCUGAAUUAAGACUCAUUAGUUUUACUAUCUCCUUGACUAUUAUUAAUAUUUAUAAUAUAAUUUCCUAUAAUAUUUUAAAAUAAAUUCUUUUAUAAUAUAAUAUCUUUUAUCUUCUUUCAUCCAUUAGAUAUAUAAUAAUACAACAACGUUUAUUUUCUUUCAAAAUAUUUAUAAAUUCUAGAAACUGAGUCAAAUAUUUGAAUAUAAAAAAUUAUUUCAAUCAAACUAAAAAAUUAGUCAAAAUUAUAAAAACACUCAACUUUAAAAUCCAAUUUCCAACACUUAAAUUUCAAUUAUUUUUUAAAUAACCAACAAAUUAAGCUCAUCUUCACAAUGUACAUCUAAUACAACUACAUUCAUAAAUCCAUAUACUUUUACUCAUAGAUUUUCUAUAGAUUUUAUAAUAAAUAUAAAUAUAUAUAUAUAUAUAUAUAUUUUAUUCUAUAAAAAAUAAAUUCAUCAAAAAAUAUUCUAAUUUUGCAAAGCUUUUAUGAAGUCAAUAUCUACUCAAAUCCUUCAAAAUCAAAGCUUAAAGAAAUCUUAUCAUGUUAUCUUUUUGUAUCUGCUCAUCAAUCAACAAAAUAAUCUCUCAUUUGUUGUACACAUGUAGUUUUGUAUCUCAAUGUCUAGUUUUGACCUUGGUUCAUAAUUGGUCUUCUUUGGAUAUCCAUCUAAGGUUUUUCUAUUUUUUUUUAAAAAAAUAUUCUUUAUUUAUACUUAAAGAUGUCUUUAAUAUUAUUUUUACUAAUUUAUACUAUUUCGUCUUAUAUUUUUAAUGUAUUUUAAUACUAUACUUUUAAUUAAGCUCUUAAAUAUUUUGUUUAUUUAUUUAUUUUGAUUAUUAUUAUUUUUUACUCAAUUAAAAUAUUACAACACAACACCAAGAAUGUGCUUAUAGCUUGUAUUAUUUAAUGUGUUGUAUUGCUUGAGAAUACAUUGGACACUUAGCUAUAAAGGAUAAACUGGAAAUUCCAACAAAUAAAGAUUUUAGAAUCUUUAAUAGAAUCUUAAACAAAUCCCAAUUGAACCUUCAUAAUCUUAGUCAAACCUUAAUCAAAUCCAAAAGAAGUCUUAAAAUUUUCUAAAAGAAUUAUAAAAAAUUAUAAAGAACUUUAAAAAUCUUAAAUUUUUUAUAAACAUAUUUUUAUAAUUAAAAAAAAAUUCUAAAAUAAUUUAAAAAAUCCUUUAAUAAAUAUUAAUAAAUCUUAGUAAAAUCCAAAAAUCCUAAUAAAAUUCUAAAUUAAUCUUAAAUAAAUCCUAAUAAAAUUUAAAUAAUUCUAAUAAAAUUUAUUUUAAAAAAAAUCCUAAUCUAAUCUUGAUCAACCAUAAUUAAUUUUUAUGAUAAAUUUAAAACCUCAAUAAAUAUUAAUUAAAAUUUUGAUCUUACUUAAAACUUCACACAUAUUACACUAUAUCAACUAAUAAAAAAUAUGAAAAAUUUGGUAAAAAUUGCACUUACCAAUUGAAAAAAAAUACUCUUGUUUUGCUCAAAUCUUGAUUGUCUUCUCUCUCCAAUCUUAAUAUUGAUUUUCUAGCAGCAAUAAUUCUUUAUUAAACCAUAUAUUUGCUCUCAAAAUUGAGUAAAUUGUUGCAAAAUAAACUCAAUAUCCAUACACAAAUAUUUGCUUCAAUUUAAGUGACAAAUUGUUCAAGAUUUAACUUUCACUAAUCCUAAAAAUUAAACAAUUAAGACCUUAAUUGAAGCAAAUUCUAAUAUUUUUCAAUGUAAUUCUUUAAUUGAUCUAAAUAUUUUAGAACAUGUUCCAAAAAACCUAAUUUACAAUCUCACAAUAUUUUAUUUGUCUAUUUACUAUAAUAUUCAUAAAUUUCUCAAAUAUAUAAUCUCAUUUUUAUUUCUUAAGUUUUGCCUUAUUUAUGUUUGUACAAAGUAAAUAGAAACUUUAUUAUGACAAAAAGAAGCAAAAAGAAUUAAGAAUCAUUCAAUAAUUAAGAUAGAAUAAAUAAAAGUUAUAAAGAUAUUUUUGAUAACAAUGCAAGUGGUUGAAAUAAGUGCCUAAUAGUUUUCAUAUUAAGUUUAGAUAAUUUGAGGUGAUAUUAGCAAAAAUCAUGAUUGCAUGAAAUAGAUGGCAAGUUCUAAUAGUACUAGCAAAAAUUGAAGUGGCAAUAGUAUCAUAUAUAUAUAUAUGUAUAUAUAUUACUAUAAAAAUAUUUAUUAAUGUUUCUAAGCUUGGAUGUAAUAUAAAAAAUAUAAAAAGUUAAUUUAAAAACAAAUUAAAAUUUCUAAAUAAAAUAAAUUAUUAUUUAAAUGAAUAAACAAAAAAAUAUAUAAAAAAGAUUAUAAUCAAAAAAGAAUCUAAAUUAGAUUUAAUUUAAAAAAUAAAUAUAAUAUAUUUAUAUUUAAUUUUUUAAAAAUCAUAUAUAUAUAUAUAUAUAUAUAUAUUGAUAUAACCAUGUAUUUUUAGUUUGAAUAUUUAUUAUAUAUUUCUAUUAAAUAAAUAAAUAAAGCUUUAAAUUAAAUAAAAUUAUUAUCUAAUUAAAAAUUAAUUUAUAAAAUAAGUAGUUAAAUUUAUAUUAUAAUAAGUAGCCAUGUAUUAAAGUAUAUAAAUAAAUAUGAAUAUAAAAUAAGUAAUAUUAUAAAAGAUAUUACUUUAGAUAAGUUGCUAUUGAUUAAAGGAUUAUUCUUGGUAUAUAAGAAGGCGAAGAGAUGAAGUAGAUGAACGGAUUAAGGAUCUUAAGAAUAUUAAAAAUUUGCUAAAGACAUAAUUUAUAAUAAAUAAGAUAACAAUAGAUAGUCUCGAUAGAAUGUUAGAUAGAUGUAUUCAUCAAAGGAUUGAAGUUGUCCAUUAAGGCAACAUCCACCACCUACAAAUAAUGGGAGUUGGAAGUAAGAGAUAUCUUACUCCAUACUCUUUUUUUGUUCAACCUUGUUGAUGCUAAAUGUUGUGACUUCAUAGUGCUUGUUUUUCAAUAGGUUAUAGGUCUACUCACCUUUAGUUGUGAAUUUUGAAGUUCUUUGAAGUCUUACUUAUUAUAAGGAGUAGAUCAUUUGGUUGUUAUUGAUGUUAGGAUUUGAUAUCAUCUAACUCCAUUGUUACAUCUAGUUGUUGGUGUAAUUUUGCUCUUACUUGUUGUUAAGUGCAUUGAUGAUUUUGGAGGUUCGUAAAUAUCUUAGAAUGAUGUUUUAAAAUACUAAUAUUUUUUUUUUUGCUAAUUCACAUCAUUUGUGAUCUAACAUUGUGGUUUUAUGUAGUAAACUUCUCUUGAAAUCUUCUUAUAGUGAUAAAGAGUGAUUUAUGAAAUUAGAAAUAUUUUGUAAAAGAAGAUGAGUGAUUGAGGAAUAGAAAAGUUUAUACAAGAGGUUUAGAUAGUAUAUAAGACAUGUGAGAAGUCCUAUAAGUGAAGUUGAAAGUGAUUUAAGAGUGAUAUCACUAAUUUACUUAUAAAGAAUAUAUUUUGGAUUUCUACAGCAGCAACAUUUUGUUAAUUUUGAUAGGUCUUUCUUCUCUUUUUUUAAUUUUUUUAAUACAUCCCUUUCCUAGAUAUGGCUUCAAGUGAAGUUGAAGGUUUGAAAGUAAUUGAGAAGUUCAAAGGUAACAACUUCUACCACUAAAAGAAAAAAAAUGGAACUUUUCUUAUCUUUAUUGGAUCUUAAGAACAUUGCGGAUGAAAGUGAAGAGCUUCCAAAUGACAAUACUAAUAUCAAGGUAAAGAAGGAGUACAAAUUUUAUAAAAGGAAAGAUUUUGAUAUGAUUGCAUCAAAUUUAGAUGAUACCAACUUUUUACAUGUAAUUGCUUGUAAUAUAUAAACAGAAGCAUGAAAGACUCUUUGCAAUAUUUAUGAAAGUAGAAACCUUGCCAACAUUCUUGGACAAGGAUGAAGUUCUUAAUAGUAAAGAUAGAAGAAGAAAAUGAAUUCAUGGCUCAUAUCAACAAAAUAAAAUCACUUGCAAAUCUAGUAGCAAUUGUUGACAAGCUAGUUGAUGAUAAAGACAUUGUAUUGACAUUGCUCAUGAGCCUUUUAGAGUCCUACAUCUACCUCAUUGUGGCAUUAGAGUCUAUCAAUAUGAAGGAGCUUAUCAUAAAUUAUGUCACAUCAAGGCCUGUCCAUGAAUUAAUCAAGAGGAAAGAAAAUGAGCUUCAAAGUGAAGAUUUGGCUCUAUUCUUAAGACAAAGCAAAGAUAACUAUUUUCUUCAAUGUGAUAAUUCAAAAAGAAAUAUAAAAAAUUGCUAUAUUCUUAAAAAAUUAGAUCACGUUAUUAAGAAUUAUUACAAAAUAAAGAAAAGAAAUAGGUACAAUACAAACAAUAUUUGUGAUAACUUUGAUGAAGAUGAUUAUAAUAAGUUUGGAUUUACAUCAUUAAAGCCAAGAGUGAAUGUUUUUUAAGGUUUAAGAAAUUUAAGACUCUUGUAAAGAAAUAAUAUGAGUGAAAGUUCAAAGUAUUACAUAUGAAUAAUGGAGGUGAGUAUAUGUCAAAAUAUUUUGAUGAAUUCUUGAAGAUUCAAGGUGUUACAAGUGAAUCUUCUACUUCUUACAUUCUACAAUAAAAUGAAGUUGCUGAAAGAGCAAAUCAAACUAUUGUAGAAAUAAUAAGGAAUAUUCUUCAUGUACAAAACUUUAGGCAUGAGUAUUGGACAGAAGUUGUGGUAAAUGUAGUGUAUAUAAAGAAUAGGUGUCCAACAAGUAUACUUACAUCAAUGACUCUACAAGAAGCUUAGAAUGGCAAGAAAUCUUCUAUUUCACACAUGAAGAUUUUUGAAUGCAUUGCCUAUGCAAAUGUACCAAAUUGUAUGAAAUUCAAACUUGAUGCAAAAGAUAUAAAAUGUGUAUUUGUUGGAUAUUAUAAAGGUACCAAGGCAUAUAGGCUAAUAUAUUUAGAAAACAAGAAGAUCAUCAAGAAUCAUGAUAUAGAAUUUUUGAAGCAUAAGAAUGCUUAUGAUAACUCAAAGAUGUAUUCAAGUAAGAGUAAUAGUAUAUUUGUAGACAUAUCUUUAAUUUCAACAAAAGAAGAAGAAGAAGAUGAUGAAAUUGAUGAUGGUAGAAAUUCAAAUCAAGAUGAAGAGCCAAAGAAGAUAGAUCAUAGUAUGCCUAUAAUUCCUAAAAUUAGUAAUAAAGACUAUUAAGAUAUUAAAGAUAAUGAUGAUAAAGAGGAGUAUCAAUUUUUGAAUGUAAAAAAUAAAUUUUAAGAAAAAAGAAUCUUUUUAGAAAUCUAGGAAUAAAAGAAGGUGAAGCUUCAUCAAGUCAAAGGAGAUAUCUUUUAAGAGAUAGAAAAUAACUUGGAGUAUAGUAGAAGAAUCACAUCUUUUUUCAAAUAAAUGAAGAACAUGCUAAUAUUGCAUUCUUUAUUGAUCCAUUGAAUUUGUGUGAUACAAUGAAGUCUACGAAUGCUAUGAAGUAGGAGAAUAAGAUAGAAGAAGAAUAUAAAUCACUCAUGGACAAUAGAACAUGGAAAUUAACUCAAUUUCUAUCAAAUCAAUCUUCAAUUGGUUAUAAGUGGAUAUUUAGAACCAAAAUAGAUGCUAUGGGUAAUAUUAAGAGAUACAAGUUUAGAUUGCUUGCUAAAGGCUAUUCACAAGUUGCAGGUGUUGUUUUCAAUGAGACAUUUAUUCUCAUGGCCAAAUUCACCAUGAUUAGAACCAUUGUUGUAAUUAGGGUAACAGUAGACUUUGAGAUGUAUCAAAUAGAUGUAAAGAUGGCUUUCUUGAAUAGAAAUCUAAAAAAAGAUAUUUAUAUAGAUUUGUAAAAGAAUAGAAACAACAUCUUAUUAGUAAGUUGAAGAAAGCUUUGUAUAGACUUGAGCAAUCUCCGAAGGUAUAGUACCAAUGUAUUGAUAUAUUUUUUAUAAAUGAAAAAUUUUUAAGGAGUGAAUCUGAUCAUUCCUUAUAUGUGAUGCAAUCAAGUGAAUUCAUAUUGAUUUUUAUCUCUUAUAUUGAUGAUUUGAUCAUCUUAAUCAAUACUAUUAAGAUGAUGGAUUAGUUGAAGGCAAAAUUAAAAAAAAAGUAUGAGAUGUGUGAUUUGAAAGAGCUUUAUUAUUGUUUAAAAAUGGAAUUUGUGAGAGAUUGUACUAAAAAGACCAUGAUAAUGAGUCAAAGCAAGUAUAUUGAAGAAAUAUUGAAAUAAUUCAGCAUAGAAGAUUAUAAACCAAUUUGAAGUUGAUGAAGCUCAUAGAUAAAGAAUUUAUUGAAUUUGAAGGUCAAAUACAAGAUAUUUUAUAUAAUGUAGCAAUAGAUUUAUUUAUAUAUAUAUAAUAGUUGACAUAAAGGUAGAUCUUGCAUAUGCGGUGAGUGUUGUGAGUCAAUAGAUGUCAAACGCUGGAUCAAUCUAUUAAGCAACUAUUGAAAGAAUCAUGAGAUACUUAAAAGAUACUUUGUAUUUCAAAUUAUGCCUUGAAAGUAAUAACAUUAUUUUGCAUGGUUAUUGUAAUGCGGAUUGGAUUAGAGAUGCAAAUGAUAGAAGAUAAAUAAUAGGAUAUGCAUUCUUUGUUGGAAUAGGAGCUAUCUCAUAGAAUUGCAAGAGACAACCAAUAAUUGCAAGAUCAAUAAUGGAAGCGGAGUACAUGGCAGCAAGCUAUGGUGUAAUAGAGAUAAUAUGGCUUAGACAACUUUUGGAGGACAUUUGAGUAUUACAAAUGAAAGCAAUUCCAAUAGAGUAUGAUAAUUAAGGAUGUCUUGUAUUUACAAAGAAUCCAAAGCAUCAUUUAAGGAUUAAAUACAUUAAUAUUUAGCAUGACUUCAUAAAAGAGAAGAUUGAAAUAAGAGUGAUUGAAAUAAAGUAUUGUGCAAUGAAUGAUAUACUUGCUAAUUUGUUGACAAAGGUACUAGGUAAGUUUAGUCAUCACAUAUUGAUAAAGGUAUUAGAAUUGAAAGCCUUUGAUCAAUAGCAAAAUAAGAGUGUUAAAGUAUAUAAAUAAAUAUGAAAGUAAAAUAAGUAAUAUUAUAGAGGAUAUUAUUCUAAAUAAGUUGCUAUUGAUUAAAGGGUUGGCUCUUGGUAUAUAGAUUGGCUAAGAAAUAAAGUAGAUGAAUAGACCAAGGAUCUUAAGAAUACAAAGAAUAUAUUAAAGAUAUAUUUUUAUAAUAGAUAAGAAAAUAAUAGAUAGUCUUAAUAGAAUGUUAGAUGGAUGUAUUCAUCAAAGGAUAGAAGUUGUCCAUUAGGGUAGCAACCACCACCUAUAAGUAAUAGAUGUUGGAAAUGAGAGAUAUCUUAUUCCAUAUUUUCUAUUUGUGCAACCUUGCUAAUGCUAAAUAUUAUGACUUCAUAGUGCUUAUUCUUCAAUACUAUAUUCAUUAACAUAUUUAGUUGGAUAAUUAAAAAUAAUUAGAAUUAAAGGGACAUAUGUUAUGUUCUUGAUAUCUAAUUAAUGAGCUUCCUAAAAGCUUUGUAGACUUUAUUUGUAUAUAUAAGUUAUAAGUCAUUAGUAGAUUAAUAAUCUUUUAAAUAAAUUGACUACAUAUCACAUAUUUAGCCACUUAUAUUACAAGUUAGUCACAUUGUACACAUGUUGGAAAUUUAUUCUAUAAAUUAAAUAAAAGUCUUGCAAGUUCAAUACAUGUAAUAUGGCUUAUAAGACAUUGCCACAUAUUUUUUUUAAUAGAUAUUAUAUAUAAAGGUAAGAAUGAUACUUUUCUUAUUCUUGUCAACAUCUUUUUUGUUUUCUUUUCUUAGUUUAAGAGUCUCUAAAUUAUUUAUAUUUGGUAAUAGUUAUUCUACUAUAUAUCUAAUAUAUAUUUUUUAAUUUAUUUAUAUUAUUUUUUUGAUAAUAUAAGAAUAUAUUUAUAUUUUUAGAAUUUAUAAUAAUUCAUAUCUUUAAUAAUUUGAGAAAAAUAUCUUUUAGUAAAAAUUAAUUUUAAUAACCUUGAAUUGAUAUCUAAAGAUUUCAAUAUUGUAUUAUAUAUUAUUUUAUUCAAAAAUAUACCAAACACUUGAAUAUAGAAGGUAAAGUUGAAUUUUGCAACUAUUUAAAAAAUUCUAAUAUGUUUUGACUAAUCAAGAAUAAUAUUAUUCAAUUCCAACCUCAGAUAUUUUAAUAUCAAUAUAAAGUAUUUAAAAAAAAUCUUUUUAAUAAUCAUAAGAAUAUUCAAAGUCUAAUUACUAAAUUAUUUUUUAUUUCUUUUCAGCUAGAAAAUUCUCUUACAAUUUUUAAUAAGAGUCAACAAACUUUAGUAAGGUAUAGCUUUUAAUCUAAAUAUUUAAGUAGUAUGAAAUAUAUUAAUAUUAUUAUAAGCCUUCUAUACCAUUAUAAAAAUUUAGUCCAAUCUCAACAUACAAAUUGUGUAGAAAAGCCAAAAUAUCAGAUUGAUGUUCAUUGGCCACUAAUUUGAAAGUUGAUGAAAAAAUUCUAGCAGCACUUUUUUAUUUUUUCAAUUAUUAAUUUCAGCUCAAAAGUAGAUUGUAGCUUGGUCAUUAAGGCUUUUAGCCAUUUAUUAAGUAUUUUUACAUUCUAACUAGUAGGGCUUUCAUAAUACAAAAAAUUCUAAUCAAUUCUAAAUUAUAUUAAAUUUGGUACCUUUUGUACUUAUGAUUAAAUAUCUCUUCUUUGCUCUAUAACAAUGACAUAGAUUUUUAUAUAAGUCUAUUAUAGACAAUCAAUUAUAUAUUCAAGAAAUUUCUACUAUAGAUAUUACUUAAAAUAUAUUAAUCAACAAAGAAUAUUAAUCCUAAUUUUAUUGUACAAAAUACUUAAUGCCAAUAUAAACAUUUUUUUUCAUCAAUAUUUUUAAAAUUAAUUUAAAAAAUAUAAAAUAUAAAAUAAAAAUACUUUUAGAAUAAGCUUAAUUUAGCUUAUUAAUUUUAAAUGUUGAUUUUCAAAUGUUCAUGUAUUAUUCCUUAGACGACCAUUUUAGUCACUAGAAAUUUGAUUUUUAUCAUGAUUCACAAAUAUUUAUUUGUAAGAUAUCAAUAAAAUCUAUUUUAGAAUUUGUUUAGUACAACUAUUUACUUAACUUUAUCUUUGAGCCAAUUAUAUCACCUAUUUAUCUAAAUUAUCUUAUUUUUAUUAUUUUAUGGCCUUUUGUGAAUCAUCAAAUUGAUUCACUUGUUGUUUUAGGAUAAAAAUAUGCAUUUAAAAUGCUUUAAAUCCAAAUAUAUAGCAAGUAGUAUAGAAAUCCUUAAAAAAAUAGAAAAUUAGAAUGUCAGUGGUAGAAAUGGAGUCUUAGUAAGUCUUAGAGGCAAUUAUCUUUAUUGGUUUAGUAUUUUUCUUUAUUGUUGAAUAUUAAGGAUUAUUAUUAAAACCAAUAUUUAUAUUGGUCUUCUAUCUAUAUGUAUUACUUAUAAAAACUAUAAAUUUUAGUAGUUA